GACGAACGCUGGCGGCGUGCUUAACACAUGCAAGUCGAACGGUAAGGCCCUUCGGGGUACACGAGUGGCGAACGGGUGAGUAACACGUGGGUGAUCUGCCCUGCACUUCGGGAUAAGCCUGGGAAACUGGGUCUAAUACCGGAUAGGACCACUGCCUGCAUGGGUGGUGGUGGAAAGCUUUUGCGGUGUGGGAUGGGCCCGCGGCCUAUCAGCUUGUUGGUGGGGUGAUGGCCUACCAAGGCGACGACGGGUAGCCGGCCUGAGAGGGUGACCGGCCACACUGGGAGUGAGAUACGGCCCAGACUUCUGCGGGAGGCAGCAGUGGGGAAUAUUGCACAAUGGGCGCAAGCCUGAUGCAGCGACGCCGCGUGAGGGAUGACGGCCUUCGGGUUGUAAACCUCUUUCAGCACCGACGAAGCGCAAGUGACGGUAGGUGCAGAAGAAGGACCGGCCAACUACGUGCCAGCCGCCGCAGUAA
rnacentral:rRNA from 1 species